CUGGCACUUGGUCUGGUUUGUUGUCAGGCCCUACCUUGUGUAGAGGCUGCCAGCCACUGGUUGGCUGGCAGGGCUGGGUCAUGGGGCUGCUGGUUAUGUGAUCCUGGGUGGUUCUGGAGCUAGUGCUGGCUCACUGGUGGGCAGGGCUGGGUUCUGGAGUGGGAGAUUGUGGGGCUGGGGGUCUCAGACUUAGUGUCAGCCUGCUGGUGGGUGGGGCCAGUUCCUGAUACAACUGGCUGCAGUAUCUGGGAUGUCUCAAGGCUAGUGUUGGCCCACUGGUGAGGGAGACUGGAUCCUGGACAGAUGGCUGAGGGGUCCAAGGUGUCUCUUCUGUGGACUUUGGCUUGCAGGGGGAAAGGUGCAUUAGAGGGAACACUGAGGACAGGAGGGAACUCAUUUACUCUGCUUCCCAUUUAGCAAUCUGAAAGAAGCCACUUCUUAAACUAUCCCCUGUCCUAUCCUGUAGUAGAUCCAGGACAACUGGACAGCCUGGUGGGGUCAGGCAGAGGGAGCUAUCUUCAUUAUCUUGGGCUGUCAAAACAAAAUACCAUAGACUGGGUGGCUUAAAUAAAAUAAUUUAUUUUCUCACAGUUCUGGAGGCCAGGAAGUCUAAGACUAUUAUGCCAGUCAAUUUGGUUUCCCGUGGGGUCUCUCUUCCUGACUUGCAGAUGGCCGCCUUCUCACCAUGUCCUCACAUAGCAGAGACAGAGAGGGACAGAGAGUGGCCUCCCUGGUGUCUCUUUUUGUUGUUGUUAUUGUAUUCAUUCACCUGUUUUAUAUUUUAGGUUUCACGUAUAAGUGAUAACAUACAGUAUUUGACUUUCUCUAACUUAUUUCACUUAGCAUAAUACCCUCCAGGUCCAUCCAUUAUGUUGCAAAUGGCAAAAGUUCAUUCUUUUUUAUGGCUUAGUAAUAUUCCAUUGUAUAUAUGCCUGGUGUCUCUUAUAAGGACACUCAUUUUACCAGAUUAGGACUUCACUCUUAUGACUUCAUUUAACCUUAAUUAGUUCCUUACUCCAAAUACUGGCACACUGGGGGUUAGGCUUCAACGUACGAAUUUUGGGGUUACAUAACUCUGUCCAUAGCAGGAGGCUUUGAAAUUUAGUUUCCCUGAGCUGCCUGGGAUCCUGAGUGGUCUAAGUAGACCUAGAGAUGGCUGUGGAGCUGGCUGGAGAGCUUGCUAGAAGGGACCACAGUACCAGAGUGAGGUACCAGAUCUGCCCUCUGCCUAAAAUUCUGCAUGUGCCAUGGUGAAUUGCAUAUGUUUAUUAAAAGAAUCAGUUGACUGUGCCUUCUUUUUGUAGGUGUCACAUGAGUGUCCCAAGUCCUCCAGCCUUCAGGAGUCACCCUUUCCUUGAACAUCCACUGAAUAUCAGCUCCCAGAUCUGCAGGAAAUCCAUUCAAGAGCCCAGUACAUGCUGAUGUGUUUCCAUAGAUCCAUCCUGUAGCUGUUGCAUUCUUCUCUCAAUGGCUCCAUUGUGCCAGGCCUCUUUGCGGUCACCUACAGCCAUUUCUUCACCUCUUCUCCCAGUUGCUGUUCUUUCCCUAAGCUGUUUUGCUCUGAACAUCCUCUGAGCAGCCGUGGCUGGCUCCAGGACAGCACAGACUCCAAACUCUGGCCUGAUCUCGUUUCUGCCUCAGAAGCACGUGGUGCUGUGGCCUCAGAUGCCAUCAGGGUGUCUUCUAGCUCAUCCAGGCAGGCCUGCUCUCAAAUGUUCCGCUGGGAGAAUGUGACAAUUUUCUGGAGUUUGAUAAUCUUCCAUCUUUCUUGGUGAUCCACAGAUGGUCUCACAACCCAGCUGAGUACUUAUAUUCAAUCCCAGGAGAUUCUGAGAAGGUGUUGGUUUGUAGAGGAGAAAGGAUGGGAGAUGAUGGGGAGGAAGAGAAGAUGUGGGGAAGCCAGAGAAGAGAGAAAGAGGAAAACAUUACAACUUAACCCAAUUUAACUCAAACUUGAAUGUGCAUCCAAAUCACCUAGAAGGCUUGUUAAAGCACAGAGCGCUGGAUCCCACCUCAGAGUCUCUGAUUCAGAUUGCUGUGAGCAUUUAAUGAGCUAAACCAUGAAAAGCACAAGUCCAGCACCUACUCUGUAGGCUCUGUAAAAAGGUUCCCCUCAUGGGAAGAGGUGGGGGGCACUGGACCACCUGCACAAGAAUCUACUGAAAGACUCGAUAAACAUGCAGACACCCCAGUACCCCUGAGAGCGUGGGCCAGGAAUCUACGUGAUUAACCAGCAGCAGUGUGACCAGUUGUCUACUUGUCUACGUUCCUUCCAAGACAUGGCCAGUAGAUGGCGGUGCAGUCUGCACUUUCAAUGCAGCUUCCGCAUUUCUGGAAAGAUCUCCCUGUGAAACCUCC